GCGACCCCAGGAUGGGCGAAGCC
rnacentral:rRNA from 1 species